rnacentral:rRNA from 1 species
GAACGAGCUAAUACCGGAUAAUAUAUUGAACCGCAUGGUUCAAUAGUGAAAGACGGUUUUGCUGUCACUUAUAGAUGGAUCCGCGCCGCAUUAGCUAGUUGGUAAGGUAACGGCUUACCAAGGCAACGAUGCGUAGCCGACCUGAGAGGGUGAUCGGCCACACUGGAACUGAGACACGGUCCAG